AAAACUAAAUAGUUCAAACCGGAGACAGCAGGUGCGAAUAGCUUAAUAUCCUGCCGAGGUAAAAACUCUAAUUGCCUGAAUUACUACCUACACGGUGUAGGUGUUACAGCGCCAAGAGCUUUACUGUGAAACCCCGGUUGAAAAAAUCGGGGUUUAUUGUUUUGGGU
rfam:Nostoc sp. PCC 7107, complete genome.